UAGGGGGCAAGCGUUAUCCGGAUUUACUGGGUGUAAAGGGAGCGUAGACGGCUAUGCAAGUCUGAAGUGAAAGGCAUGGGCUUAACCCGUGGACUGCUUUGGAAACUGUAAAGCUAGAGUGCAGGAGAGGUAAGUGGAAUUCCUAGUGUAGCGGUGAAAUGCGUAGAUAUUAGGAGGAACACCAGUGGCGAAGGCGGCUUACUGGACUGUAACUGACGUUGAGGCUCGAAAGCGUGGGGAGCAA
rnacentral:rRNA from 1 species